rnacentral:rRNA from 1 species
UAGAGUUUGAUCCUGGCUCAGAUUGAACGCUGGCGGCAUGCCUUACACAUGCAAGUCGAACGGCAGCGUGGAGAGCUUGCUCUCUGAUGGCGAGUGGCGAACGGGUGAGUAAUACAUCGGAACGUGUCCGUUUGUGGGGGACAACCGUCCGAAAGGAUGGCUAAUACCGCAUAAGACCUGAGGGUGAAAGCCGGGGACCGCAAGGCCCGGCGCAGACGGAGCGGCCGAUGAUUGAUUAGCUAGUUGGGGAGGUAAAGGCUCACCAAGGCGACGAUCAAUAGCUGGUCUGAGAGGACGACAGCCACACUGGAACUGAGACACGGUCCAGACUCCUACGGGAGGCAGCAGUGGGGAAUUUUGGACAAUGGGGGCAACCCUGAUCCAGCCAUGCCGCGUGCGGGAAGAAGGCCUUCGGGUUGUAAACCGCUUUUGUCAGGGACGAAAAGCUCCGGAGUAAUAUGCCGGAGUGCUGACGGUACCUGAAGAAUAAGCACCGGCUAACUACGUGCCAGCAGCCGCGGUAAUACGUAGGGUGCGAGCGUUAAUCGGAAUUACUGGGCGUAAAGCGUGCGCAGGCGGUUGGGUAAGACAGAUGUGAAAUCCCCGGGCUUAACCUGGGAACUGCAUUUGUGACUGUCCGACUGGAGUACGUCAGAGGGGGGUGGAAUUCCACGUGUAGCAGUGAAAUGCGUAGAUAUGUGGAAGAACACCGAUGGCGAAGGCAGCCCCCUGGGACGCAACUGACGCUCAUGCACGAAAGCGUGGGGAGCAAACAGGAUUAGAUACCCAGGUAGUCCACGCCCUAAACGAUGUCUGCUGGUUGUUGGGAAUUUAAUUCUCAGUAACGAAGCCAACGCGUGAAGCAGACCGCCUGGGGAGUACGGUCGCAAGAUUAAAACUCAAAGGAAUUGACGGGGACCCGCACAAGCGGUGGAUGAUGUGGAUUAAUUCGAUGCAACGCGAAAAACCUUACCCAGCCUUGACAUGUCAGGAAUGCCUCGGAGAUGAGGCAGUGCCCGCAAGGGAACCUGAGCACAGGUGCUGCAUGGCUGUCGUCAGCUCGUGUCGUGAGAUGUUGGGUUAAGUCCCGCAACGAGCGCAACCCUUAUCGUCAGUUACUACGCAAGAGGACUCUGGCGAGACUGCCGUUGACAAAACGGAGGAAGGUGGGGAUGACGUCAAAUCAUCAUGCCCCUUAUGACCUGGGCUACACACGUACUACAAUGGCGUUAAACAAAGAGAAGCGAGACCGCGAGGUGGAGCAAAACUCAUAAACAACGUCCCAGUUCAGAUUGCAGGCUGCAACUCGCCUGCAUGAAGUCGGAAUUGCUAGUAAUCGCAGAUCAGCAUGCUGCGGUGAAUACGUUCCCGGGCCUUGCACACACCGCCCGUCA